AAAAUGUUUUAGGGUUUAGAUUUAAUUCGAUUAGAAGUAAAACAGAAGGCGAUUCUCGUACUAUCUUCUGAUUUCUUCCGUUUGAUCACAAAAGAAUCGUUGAUAUGACGAAAAUGAACUCAUCCAAAGAAAGAAAGAAAUCGAUUUCCAUUGAAAAAAGUCCCUUGACCAAUUCAUAUGAAAACGUAAGGAAACAACGAAUAAAAGACAAUCUGAAACGAUUUCAGGAAUUGGUGUUUCAAAAAUGGCUGGGGUUUUUCAAGAACAAGUCAGAACCAAGAAGUCUGUGGCCGACGUAGAAAGAUGAAAACAAGACUACUGGAAACCCUGCUGGUCCAUUUAGACGAUCUACACGUCUCCGGAACGAAGUCAUUUGUUAUCAGGAGCAGAAGCUAGUAAGACUAAAUGACUAAUUAUAUCUAGUAAAGAGUAAAAUGUUGGGUGAGGUUAUUAUUAUUGUCGAGUCUUUAGAAAUGACCAAUUCUUUGAUUGUUUGAGGUUGUUCCUCGGCUCAGGUAAAAUUUCUAAGUAGGAUGAGGUCUAUUUCAUAUGUCUGUAGGGGUUUCCGCUGCUCAAUGUUUAGAUGCUUCGACUAAACAAGUAACAAUGUAAUCAGAAGAGGAAUUGCUGCUACAGCAGAAAAAUCUUAUCCGCUAAGGCGUGCAGAGAUAUUUCGAAGCAGUUUGUCGUCUGAAAACCCAUCUUGCGUCAAACCACUGUAUCCCUCAAAUGUAUCCAACGACUUUUAUCUGGAAAGCUAGCAAGAUGUUUGAUACCGUAAUUCUUAAAUUUUUUUUGUCCACAUUCAAUGGAAAUGCUAACAAUUGGGUAAUUGUUUCUUCCCAUGUUAUGUUCUUAAGACUAUACCAAGUAAAUUCUGUAAUGAUCACUUCGCUAAGGAAACACGGCCAAUUGAGCUAGAAUAUCUACACCGCUCUAUUCCGAAAAAAAUUCACGGUUAUUGCAUGGAAAUCUUUUGUUAGGGAUCAUGAGUUGGAUGAUGGUGAUGCUAUAGUUUUGGAGCUUAUUCAGCCAAGAAGAUUAAAGGUACAUGUAUUUAGACUGGCUAAUGGCAGCAGUGAAGCAAAAGCCAAGGAGAUAAAGCAAUCUAGAGAAAAUGAACUUGUCACGAAAGUUAAAGAUUCUGAUGCAGAUGAAGAUAUGGUUGAGGUGGAUGCUGAACAAAUAUCCAAACCCAGAGAGAGAAGAACUCGACGAAAUCUGUAGAUUGUGAUGCAGAAUGAACAACCAGGUUGCUGCCCUCAAGACAACUAACAUUUUAGUAUCAGAAGUCGGAUCAAUAAAUUUUGUAGUCCGCCUUUUGUGGGAAAAAUCUGGCGAGAUAUAAACUUAGUUUUGACUAGCAGUACAAGCUUAUUCCUGCUGGAAAGAUAUGUACCACUACAAGAAAAGUUGGAUUAAGCGACCAGGCAUUUUUGGUUGGAAAAGCCCAUAUUGAGUCGCUCUAUCCCUUAAAGCGACUUAAUUUGGCUCUCGCUCUGGAGUUGCAAAAGGUGGGAUUUCAACAAGUCUAGAGCAGCUAGGCAAUCGCUUUAGUAAUCAAGCAACUAUCAUGUAGCGUCUUUUUUCUUAAU